rnacentral:rRNA from 1 species
GGGUUGUGAGGUUAAGCGACUAAGCGUACACGGUGGAUGCCCUGGCAGUCAGAGGCGAUGAAGGACGUGCUAAUCUGCGAUAAGCGUCGGUAAGGUGAUAUGAACCGUUAUAACCGGCGAUUUCCGAAUGGGGAAACCCAGUGUGAUUCGUCACACUAUCAUUAACUGAAUCCAUAGGUUAAUGAGGCGAACCGGGGGAACUGAAACAUCUAAGUACCCCGAGGAAAAGAAAUCAACCGAGAUUCCCCCAGUAGCGGCGAGCGAACGGGGAGCAGCCCAGAGCCUGAAUCAGUGUGUGUGUUAGUGGAAGCGUCUGGAAAGGCGUGCGAUACAGGGUGACAGCCCCGUACACAAAAAUGCACAUAUUGUGAGCUCGAUGAGUAGGGCGGGACACGUGGUAUCCUGUCUGAAUAUGGGGGGACCAUCCUCCAAGGCUAAAUACUCCUGACUGACCGAUAGUGAACCAGUACCGUGAGGGAAAGGCGAAAAGAACCCCGGCGAGGGGAGUGAAAAAGAACCUGAAACCGUGUACGUACAAGCAGUGGGAGCACAGAGCAAUCUGUGUGACUGCGUACCUUUUGUAUAAUGGGUCAGCGACUUAUAUUCUGUAGCAAGGUUAACCGAAUAGGGGAGCCGAAGGGAAACCGAGUCUUAACUGGGCGUUAAGUUGCAGGGUAUAGACCCGAAACCCGGUGAUCUAGCCAUGGGCAGGUUGAAGGUUGGGUAACACUAACUGGAGGACCGAACCGACUAAUGUUGAAAAAUUAGCGGAUGACUUGUGGCUGGGGGUGAAAGGCCAAUCAAACCGGGAGAUAGCUGGUUCUCCCCGAAAGCUAUUUAGGUAGCGCCUCGUGAAUUCAUCUCCGGGGGUAGAGCACUGUUUCGGCAAGGGGGUCAUCCCGACUUACCAACCCGAUGCAAACUGCGAAUACCGGAGAAUGUUAUCACGGGAGACACACGGCGGGUGCUAACGUCCGUCGUGAAGAGGGAAACAACCCAGACCGCCAGCUAAGGUCCCAAAGUCAUGGUUAAGUGGGAAACGAUGUGGGAAGGCCCAGACAGCCAGGAUGUUGGCUUAGAAGCAGCCAUCAUUUAAAGAAAGCGUAAUAGCUCACUGGUCGAGUCGGCCUGCGCGGAAGAUGUAACGGGGCUAAACCAUGCACCGAAGCUGCGGCAGCGACACUAUGUGUUGUUGGGUAGGGGAGCGUUCUGUAAGCCUGUGAAGGUGUACUGUGAGGUAUGCUGGAGGUAUCAGAAGUGCGAAUGCUGACAUAAGUAACGAUAAAGCGGGUGAAAAGCCCGCUCGCCGGAAGACCAAGGGUUCCUGUCCAACGUUAAUCGGGGCAGGGUGAGUCGACCCCUAAGGCGAGGCCGAAAGGCGUAGUCGAUGGGAAACAGGUUAAUAUUCCUGUACUUGGUGUUACUGCGAAGGGGGGACGGAGAAGGCUAUGUUGGCCGGGCGACGGUUGUCCCGGUUUAAGCGUGUAGGCUGGUUUUCCAGGCAAAUCCGGAAAAUCAAGGCUGAGGCGUGAUGACGAGGCACUACGGUGCUGAAGCAACAAAUGCCCUGCUUCCAGGAAAAGCCUCUAAGCAUCAGGUAACAUCAAAUCGUACCCCAAACCGACACAGGUGGUCAGGUAGAGAAUACCAAGGCGCUUGAGAGAACUCGGGUGAAGGAACUAGGCAAAAUGGUGCCGUAACUUCGGGAGAAGGCACGCUGAUAUGUAGGUGAAGUCCCUCGCGGAUGGAGCUGAAAUCAGUCGAAGAUACCAGCUGGCUGCAACUGUUUAUUAAAAACACAGCACUGUGCAAACACGAAAGUGGACGUAUACGGUGUGACGCCUGCCCGGUGCCGGAAGGUUAAUUGAUGGGGUCAGCGCAAGCGAAGCUCUUGAUCGAAGCCCCGGUAAACGGCGGCCGUAACUAUAACGGUCCUAAGGUAGCGAAAUUCCUUGUCGGGUAAGUUCCGACCUGCACGAAUGGCGUAAUGAUGGCCAGGCUGUCUCCACCCGAGACUCAGUGAAAUUGAACUCGCUGUGAAGAUGCAGUGUACCCGCGGCAAGACGGAAAGACCCCGUGAACCUUUACUAUAGCUUGACACUGAACAUUGAGCCUUGAUGUGUAGGAUAGGUGGGAGGCUUUGAAGUGUGGACGCCAGUCUGCAUGGAGCCGACCUUGAAAUACCACCCUUUAAUGUUUGAUGUUCUAACGUUGACCCGUGAUCCGGGUUGCGGACAGUGUCUGGUGGGUAGUUUGACUGGGGCGGUCUCCUCCUAAAGAGUAACGGAGGAGCACGAAGGUUGGCUAAUCCUGGUCGGACAUCAGGAGGUUAGUGCAAUGGCAUAAGCCAGCUUGACUGCGAGCGUGACGGCGCGAGCAGGUGCGAAAGCAGGUCAUAGUGAUCCGGUGGUUCUGAAUGGAAGGGCCAUCGCUCAACGGAUAAAAGGUACUCCGGGGAUAACAGGCUGAUACCGCCCAAGAGUUCAUAUCGACGGCGGUGUUUGGCACCUCGAUGUCGGCUCAUCACAUCCUGGGGCUGAAGUAGGUCCCAAGGGUAUGGCUGUUCGCCAUUUAAAGUGGUACGCGAGCUGGGUUUAGAACGUCGUGAGACAGUUCGGUCCCUAUCUGCCGUGGGCGCUGGAGAACUGAGGGGGGCUGCUCCUAGUACGAGAGGACCGGAGUGGACGCAUCACUGGUGUUCGGGUUGUCAUGCCAAUGGCACUGCCCGGUAGCUAAAUGCGGAAGAGAUAAGUGCUGAAAGCAUCUAAGCACGAAACUUGCCCCGAGAUGAGUUCUCCCUGACCCUUUAAGGGUCCUGAAGGAACGUUGAAGACGACGACGUUGAUAGGCCGGGUGUGUAAGCGCAGCGAUGCGUUGAGCUAACCGGUACUAAUGAACCGUGAGGCUUAACCUUACAACGCCGAAG